rnacentral:rRNA from 1 species
AAGGCUAAAUACUCCCGAGAGACCGAUAGUGAACCAGUACCGCGAGGGAAAGGUGAAAAGUACCCCGAGCAGGGGGGUGAAAUAGACCCUGAACCCGCGCGCCUACAAGCGGUCGGAGCUGCCUUGUGCAGUGACGGCGUGCCUUUUGCAUAAUGAGCCUACGAGUUAGUCGUCACCAGCGAGGUUAAGGGCUUCAGGCCCGUAAGCCGAAGUGAAAGCGAGCCUUAACAGGGCGUCAAGUUGGUGGCGCUAGACGCGAAACCUUGUGAUCUACCCACGAGCAGGUUGAAGUCGCGGUAACACGUGAUGGAGGACCGAACCGGUAAACGUUGAAAAGUUUUCGGAUGACUCGCGGGUAGGGGUGAAAGGCCAAUCAAACUGGGAAAUAGCUCGUACUCUCCGAAAUGCAUUUCGGUGCAGCCUGUGAUGUUCUGUUCCAGAGGUAGAGCUACUGGUUGGACGCGAGGGCUUCACCGCCUAUCAAAUCCGGAUAAACUCCGAAUGCUGGAACACGAAAUCAUGGAGUGAGCCCGCGGGUGCUAAGGUCCGCGGACGAGAGGGAAAGAACCCGGACCACCGGCUAAGGUCCCGGAUGGACAGUUAAGUUGAUCAAACGAGGUGGGAUCGCGGAGACAGCUAGGAUGUUGGCUUGGAAGCAGCCAUUCAUUUAAAGAGUGCGUAACAGCUCACUAGUCGAGCGAUCCCGCGUGGAUAAUACACGGGCAUUAAACUGUCAACCGAAGCCGUGGGGUCAGCGAAAAGCUGACCGGUAGGAGAGCAUUCCUGCCAGCGUUGAAGGUCACCCGCGAGAGUGACUGGAGCGGCAUGAAAAGCAAAUGUAGGCAUAAGUAACGAUAAUGGGGGCGAGAACCCCCCACGCCGCAAGACCAAGGCUUCCCCGGCAAUGUCAAUCAGCCGGGGGUCAGCCGGCCUCUAAGGCUAACCCGAAGGGGGAUGCCGACGAGAAACGGGUUAACAUUCCCGUGCUUCUCGUCACCGUGACGCGGUGACGGGGUGAUGAAUGGACCGCGCGCUGACGGAAUAGCGCGUUGAAGGCCGUACCCUUCGAGGGUGGUAGUCAAGCACGCCACCCGAGGCGAUAGCCGAUAGUACCACGAGACUCCGGUCGAGUGGAUAGCGUCCAGGCAAUUUACCCCCGAGAAAACCCGCUAAACUUCAAGUGACGAGGAACCGUACUGUAAACGGACACACGUGGUCGGGUAGAACAUACCAAGGCGCUCGAGUGAUUCAUGGUCAAGGAACUAGGCAAAAUAGUCCUGUAACUUCGGGAAAAAGGACGCUCUAGUGAUAGAGCCGCAGAGUAAUGGCCCAGGCGACUGUUUACCAAAAACACAUGGCUAUGCCAAAUCGAAAGAUGACGUAUAUGGCCUGACACCUGCCCGGUGCCGGAAGGUUAAGAGGAGAGCUCAUCGGAAACGAGAAGGUUUGAAUUGAAGCCCCGGUAAACGGCGGCCGUAACUAUAACGGUCCUAAGGUAGCGAAAUUCCUUGUCGGGUAAGUUCCGACCUGCACGAAUGGUGUAACGAUCUGGGCACUGUCUCGACCAUGAGCUCGGUGAAAUUGUAGUUCCGGUGAAGAUGCCGGGUACCCGCGACGGGACGGAAAGACCCCGUGAACCUUUACUGCAGCUUCGCGUUGUUCCCGGGCACGGGACGUGUAGGAUAGGUCGGAGGCUACGAUUCGGUUUCGCCAGGAAUCGAGGAGCCAUCGUUGAAAUACGACCCUUCUCUUGUCUGGGAUCUAACCCUAGGUACAGGGGACACCGCGUGGUGGGUAGUUUGACUGGGGUGGUCGCCUCCAAAAGCGUAACGGAGGCUUCCAAAGGUACCCUCGGGUUGGUUGGUAAUCAACCUCAGAGUGCAAUGGCACAAGGGUGCUUGACCGGGAGACCAACGAGUCGAUCGGGUGCGAAAGCAGGGCAUAGUGAUCCGGUGAUCCCGCGUGGAAGGGUCAUCGCUCAAAGGAUAAAAGGUACUCCGGGGAUAACAGGCUGAUCGCCCCCAAGAGCUCAUAUCGACGGGGCGGUUUGGCACCUCGAUGUCGGCUCGUCACAUCCUGGGGCUGGAGAAGGUCCC